UUUUUUGCCUCAAUCAUCUUGUUGUCAGCCCUAGUGGGCUGAACUAUGAAAACUCUGACUUUCUCAUUGCACGGUGAGAAUACGUAGGCAGGAGGAUUCAGAUUCUCCGUGAGGUACCUUAUUUAUUUCUACCCUAUUCAUUGAUUAAUCCAUUUCUUCUUCAUCAAUCAAUAACAUCUCUUUAAGAUCAAGUACAUUUUUCUUUGGAUUCCAU
rnacentral:lncRNA from 1 species